rnacentral:rRNA from 1 species
GGUUGCGAUCAUACCAGCACUAAUGCACCGGAUCCCAUCAGAACUCCGCAGUUAAGCGUCCUUGGGCGAGAGUAGUACUAGGAUGGGUGACCCCCCGGGAAGUCCUCGUGUUGCAACCCCCG